rnacentral:rRNA from 1 species
UUUCGACCUGAGCUCAGGCAAGACUACCCGCUGAACUUAAGCAUAUCAAUAAGCGGAGGAAAAGAAACUAACCAGGAUUCCCCUAGUAACGGCGAGUGAACCGGGAAAAG